CCCGCCUCUCGGGCUGUCCCCCGCUCCCUGCCGCCCUGUGGGUUGCCGCGCUGCCCGGUGUUCCUCCUGCCGGACAGUGCCGUGCUUCCUGAGAGGUCUUUGACCACCCCGCCCUGUGGUUCAGGGGCGCAGCUCAAGGCUGGGCUGCCCCCAGCUGUCUUCCCUUUGCGCAAGUCCAGCCGUGUUCAUAGCGACAAACCACUUUGGAACGAUUGCUUUGGUUUUAAAAGAGAACGAGAGAACCUACCCCACGUACACAAAAAAACUCCAAAAACCAAACCAAAAAAACUCACCCCCACUCAAAAAACCAACCACCCACACCUGCCAUUUUUCAUCUCCUCAGGCUACCAGACUGCUUAUUUUCUGAAUGACUUGAGAGCUGAGUUUUAGCUCUGGUUUUGUCUCUGAGGCACAGUUGUGAUUUUAAGGGGUUUCAAGCAGAUUUCAAGUCCAUCUAUUUGGUAAAUAUGAUUGGACAGGUUCCUUGCCUUUUGGAUUGCUGGUUCACCUGCAUUUACUUCAGCUGUCAAGAUGGCUUUGCAGAAGAACAUGGCUCAGCAAGGGGUAAAGUUGACUCCAGUCUGGUGGUUGUGUUUAUAAAUCAUCUCAGUGGGGUCUGGAACUGAUACUCAUUACUUGUUUGCUUUACUUAUCCCUUUAAAAUACAUAAAUUUUUAUUUUACUUAAUCUGUCAUUCUGAUCAUCAUCUAGUUGAUGUGGCACUUAGGGAGAUGGUUAGGGUUGGAUUUAACACAGCUAGUUAAUGGAUGGACUUGAGGAUCUUACAUGUCUUUUCCAAUUUAUAUUCUAUUAUUUUACCAGGCUAAGGGCAACCGGAAUUUGCAAAUUUUUACGAAUUACGGUUUACAAGCUAUGGCAGAGUCAAUGGCUGUCACCCAGGAUCAUUUUGAAAAGGAACAUCUUUAUUAAAGUGUGUGUGCACUAUUUAUGCAUGUGUCAGGUUUUUCAACCAGCCUCUCCAGAACACAGCUUCCAGUGGCUGCAGUCCUUAAUGCUGCUGAGCUGUCCCUUUCUUGAUCUGGAUGAGCAUUAGCCACAGCACAAGCUCCCCCACGUGGCAGCAGAAAUUUUAUUUUGCAGAGUAGACACUUGGGUUUGAGGGACUCAUAAGCAAGAGCUCUGAACUUUGCGAAGGGCCUUGAGCCUGUGCUGGAAUGAUUUCAUCUUUGCAUGAGGGCAGGUAAGCCCAGGGUUUGGCUUGAGUAGCUGGGUCUAGCUUAAAGUCCUUUGAGUGGAGGAGAGGUGACAGACUGAGGAAGCCUGAGUGAAGGAGUACAUGUGCCACAGAAUUGACAUAGUGCCAUAACUCAGGAUGGUGAGUUGUAUUUGAGAAAAUGAAGGAAAAGAGGAAUAAUUUGAAGGGCAAAGGAACAGCAUGGACAGUGCAGGAACAAAGCCUGCAGGAGACAGGAGGAUGUGUGGAGACCACAGAGUGUUUCUUUGGAACUGUGGUCAAGCAUGGGGCUUUCCAAAGCUGUUUAGGAGUUUAUCAGUUCUUCCACACCCUUCCAAACCCUGGUUUCUUCCCAGUAGAUUCAGAAGAAAGAUCUGUGAUCCACUUUGCAUAGAGAAGAGGGAACCUGCUACACCAGUGCUCUGCUUCCUGGGACACCUCUCACUGCAGAUGAAGUACAAAAGUGUGGCUCCACUCAGGUAUCAGCAACUUGCUGUCAGGGAGAGGUGGUUUCUUUUCAUGUUCAUAAACUCCUGUGGCAGCAUCUGGAGAGGAAAGUGAAUACCUGAUAAGAAGGUGAGCCAAAGAAGAUGAAUUCUCAGCAAGCCUGGUGAUCAGUUAAGGGUGUAAUGUCUGUGAGAGCUAGAAGUGAGCAAAACCCCAGGCUUUAGUUAUCAUGUGCUACCUAAUAAUGUAAAUGUGUCACAUUUACUGGAGGUAGAGAGAAUGGGAUGUCUAAUGUGUCUGCAUAGCACCUACAUUUGCUUCUGCAAUGAACCAUCCAGUUUCAGACCUAAAUCUGGUAUCUCUAUUCUUUCUUACAACCUUUCCCUUGGAACUUCUUGCAUGCACAUAAUUAAUGAACUGAUAGAGUAAUUUUGUGUAGAGAAUGGAAUACUCCGAGGAUCCUAUUGAUACAGAAAUGGAAGGACAAAAGGGAAUUGUUAUUCUAUAUCUACCUGCUUGAAUGUCCAAAGCCAACACUUACAGGCAUCCUGUCAGUCCUCAAACAUUAAAGGGCAAACUCAGAGUUCCGUAUCUUAUCUAGUCCCGUUUCAUUGACACAUUCACAGCCUCUUCCUGAACCCAAGGUCUACAGCUGUGUAGCUGAAUUCUCAUGUAUCCACUGUCUCCAUAUUGAAGUGAUCUGCUCUGCAAGUGCUCUCAAACACUCCAAUGUGUCCCAGGGACUCAACAGCAUAGCCAAAAGCAGGCAUCUGCUUUUUGCAAGUGCUGUGAGACUUGCACUGCUUUCAGCUGGAUCUGUGAGCUACUGUGGAGUUGUCUCAGAAAUGGGCUUGGUGACAGAUGGUGACAAACUGCCUGAAGGAGCAGGAUCCAUGUCCUAUGCACAUUAAGUCCCACUGGUGAGGAUACCAAUACAUGAAACUGCAUUCCCUCUCUUGGGCCAACACAACCUCCAAUGCAGUGCACUUUGGUAACUGGCGAAGAUAUUCUUACCACUACACUCCAUCGACCUGGCCAUCUUGCUACUUUUGUAUGGCUCUUUUGUUUCUUUAGUUUUCUGUAACUGCAAGUACAGGAAACUAGCCUGGGCCAGUUCCAGCCCACUGUGAGCUGGCUACCCCAUUCUGGCACCAGGCAGUGAUCCUUAGAAAAUGAUACUUUUGUCUACCAGUGAAGAACUACUACAAGAAGGGUUUGCCUUAUGUGAAAACUGAACUCUGAGACUCUGGAUUAACUUCUUCGCUGUGUCGCUGUCAACCUGGGUGCCUUUGGAGCCUCUUUCACUUCUGAUGGGAUUUUCAACAAUAUCUACAAAAAAGAGGUGCCAAAUUUCUCAUUCGCACUUAGUGCAGUGAUUAGCACAGUACUACUUUGUUUUCUUUUGGAAUAUGCUUAAUGUCUUGAAAUCCAAAGAGAAAGAAGUGGAUAUUACUAUUUACUGUGCUUAGAAUUGGGGAUAUCCUAUGAAUAUUCUCUCUAGAAGAAUGACCUUGAGAAGUUAAUUUCUCCAUUAAAAGCUACAGUUUCAUGUUAUGACUUAUAUGCAUGUAUUUUACAUUAUGGACUACGUGAUUUUUGUCUGAUUGCUUUAAAUAAUGAAUAAAUUCAAGAAGACUGAAA